AUUUGCUCGCAGUGAACUCAGCUUAAGGGGAGCUUCGCCCACUCAAGGGACGAGUUCAAUGGGCGGUGAAACUCAAGGGACUUGACAUUGACCUCAUUCAAUAGUACUUCUCUUCUUGAGAAUAUGCCUCUCUAUUUGUUUAGGGCGAAAAGAUUGAAACCCAGAUUGUGAAACUUAGGAUGCAUCCUUUUUGUUUCCAAAAAAAAAAAAAAAAA
rnacentral:misc_RNA from 1 species